rnacentral:rRNA from 1 species
AGAUUGAACGCUGGCGGCAGGCCUAACACAUGCAAGUCGAGCGGUAGAGAGGUGCUUGUACCUCUUGAGAGCGGCGGACGGGUGAGUAAUGCCUAGGAAUCUGCCUAGUGGUGGGGGAUAACGUUCGGAAACGGACGCUAAUACCGCAUACGUCCUACGGGAGAAAGCGGGGGACCUUCGGGCCUCGCGCCAUUAGAUGAGCCUAGGUCGAUUAGCUAGUUGGUGAGGUAAUGGCUCACCAAGGCGACGAUCCGUAACUGGUCUGAGAGGAUGAUCAGUCACACUGGAACUGAGACACGGUCCAGACCUCCUACGGGAGCAGCAGUGGGAAUA